GCUCCCGCCGCCCAGCCGGUGAUCGCUCUCCGGCCGUCCCCGGCACCCUCGGCCCCCCACGGCGGUUGGUCCGGGCGGGGGAAGGAGAAAGUGAGACUCGGGGUCAUCACCAAUCCAUCGCCAGAAGGGGAGGAAAUUGGAAUCCAGCAGCGGCGAGCAGCAGCUGGGCGGUCACAUCUGGAAAUGGAAAGCCGACCUCCCCCUCCUCCUCCACCACCUCCUCCUCCUCCUCCUCUCACCCAGGAUCACUUCCGAAACCACUUGGCCUUCAGCCCCUGCCUCGGCCAGAGGUUUCAUUUUUAACUGAAUAUUUACGAAAGCUGAAAGCGUGCGAGGGGGGUGGGGUGGAAAUAGCGGCUGCUUCUUUUCCAGGGAUUUAUUUAAUGGGGAUGUGUUCAAGGCAAGACCGAAUUCAGAAGGAUAUCGACGUCGUGAUCCAGAAGUCCAGAGCUGAGGACUGCCUGUUUGCAGAUUUCAGAUACUCAGACUCCACCUUUACUUUUACCUAUGUUGGCGGCCCCAGAAGGUAUUUAUGGGUGUAGAGUUGCUUCAUUUCCUGUUCACACUCUUGUGUUUCCUUUGUUCUUAGCGUGUUCCGUGUUCGGGUAUUUUGGUUGCUUGUUUGAUUAUUGUGGCUUUUCUUUACCUACAACCCAAGCCUGACGUCCCUCGGUUUUAAAUAGCAGGGGGAGGGGAAUCAAUGUUUGAUUCAGGUGUUUCGAAGACCACGCCACAGGCGAUGAGCAGAACUCUUCAUGUUGAAACGGUUCUGCUACAGUACUAGAUUGCUCUCAGGCGAUUUGGGGUUGAUACAGGCAAGCCGGUGCAAAACUGGAAUACUGGAUAUGAAGUGAAAUGUAUGAAAGACAUAAAAUGUCACAAAAUAGUUUGAUCACAAGUGUUGAUUUUCCUGGUGAGUUGGGGCUGCGUGUUUCCAUGUUUUCUGAAGGUUCACAUAAACAUGCAGCCUGCCAAUUC
rnacentral:lncRNA from 1 species